rnacentral:rRNA from 1 species
AGCGAACGCUGGCGGCAGGCCUAACACAUGCAAGUCGAACGGACCCUUCGGGGUUAGUGGCGGACGGGUGAGUAACACGUGGGAACGUGCCUUUGGUUCGGAACAACUCAGGGAAACUUGAGCUAAUACCGAAUGUGCCCUUCGGGGGAAAGAUUUAUCGCCAUUAGAGCGGCCCGCGUCUGAUUAGCUUGUUGGUGAGGUAAUGGCUCACCAAGGCGACGAUCAGUAGCUGGUCUGAGAGGAUGAUCAGCCACAUUGGGACUGAGACACGGCCCAAACUCCUACGGGAGGCAGCAGUGGGGAAUCUUGCGCAAUGGGCGAAAGCCUGACGCAGCCAUGCCGCGUGAAUGAUGAAGGUCUUAGGAUUGUAAAAUUCUUUCACCGGGGACGAUAAUGACGGUACCCGGAGAAGAAGCCCCGGCUAACUUCGUGCCAGCCGCCGCGGUAAUAC